GAAAGGUAGAGGACUUACUCUUCGGAGUGAGAGCGUACACAGGUGCUGCAUGGCUGUCGUCAGCUCGUGUCGUGAGAUGUUGGGUUAAGUCCCGCAACGAGCGCAACCCUGCAUUCAGUUGCCAUCGGUAAGGCCGGGCACUCUGGAUGGACUGCCGGCGACAAGCCGGAGGAAGGUGGGGACGACGUCAAGUCAUCAUGGCCCUUAUGUCCAGGGCGACACACGUGCUACAAUGGCCGGCACAACGGGAAGCGAAGGGGCGACCCUGAGCGGAUCCCACAAAAGCCGGUCUCAGUUCGGAUUGCAGUCUGCAACUCGACUGCAUGAAGUUGGAAUCGCUAGUAAUCGUGGAUCAGCCAAGCCGCGGUGAAUACGUUCCCGGGCCUU
rnacentral:rRNA from 1 species